AGAGUUUGAUCAUGGCUCAGGACGAACGCUGGCGGCGUGCCUAAUACAUGCAAGUCGAGCGAGCUUGCCUAGAUGAAUUUGGUGCUUGCACCAAAUGAAACUAGAUACAAGCGAGCGGCGGACGGGUGAGUAACACGUGGGUAACCUGCCCAAGAGACUGGGAUAACACCUGGAAACAGAUGCUAAUACCGGAUAACAACACUAGACGCAUGUCUAGAGUUUAAAAGAUGGUUCUGCUAUCACUCUUGGAUGGACCUGCGGUGCAUUAGCUAGUUGGUAAGGUAACGGCUUACCAAGGCAAUGAUGCAUAGCCGAGUUGAGAGACUGAUCGGCCACAUUGGGACUGAGACACGGCCCAAACUCCUACGGGAGGCAGCAGUAGGGAAUCUUCCACAAUGGACGCAAGUCUGAUGGAGCAACGCCGCGUGAGUGAAGAAGGGUUUCGGCUCGUAAAGCUCUGUUGGUAGUGAAGAAAGAUAGAGGUAGUAACUGGCCUUUAUUUGACGGUAAUUACUUAGAAAGUCACGGCUAACUACGUGCCAGCAGCCGCGGUAAUACGUAGGUGGCAAGCGUUGUCCGGAUUUAUUGGGCGUAAAGCGAGUGCAGGCGGUUCAAUAAGUCUGCAUGUGAAAGCCUUUCGGGCUCAACCGGAAAAUUGCAUCGGAAACCUGUUGAACUUGAGUGCAGAAGAGGAGAGUGGAACUCCAUGUGUAGCGGUGGAAUGCGUAGAUAUAUGGAAGAACACCAGUGGCGAAGGCGGCUCUCUGGUCUGCAACUGACGCUGAGGCUCGAAAGCAUGGGUAGCGAACAGGAUUAGAUACCCUGGUAGUCCAUGCCGUAAACGAUGAGUGCUAAGUGUUGGGAGGUUUCCGCCUCUCAGUGCUGCAGCUAACGCAUUAAGCACUCCGCCUGGGGAGUACGACCGCAAGGUUGAAACUCAAAGGAAUUGACGGGGGCCCGCACAAG
rnacentral:rRNA from 1 species